GACGAACGCUGGCGGCGUGCUUAACACCUGCAAGUCGAACGGACAGGCCCUGCUUUUGUGGGGUGCUCGAGUGGCGAACGGGUGUGUCCCACGUGAGUAACCUCCCCUUGCCUUUGUGUUAACUUCAGGAAACUGGGGCUAAUACCGCACAGGAGCUCCUGCCGCACGGCGGGGGUUGGAAAGUUUCGGCGGCUGGGGAUGGACUCGCGGCUUCUCAGCUUGUUGGUGCGGUAGUGGCUUACCAAGGCUUUGACGGGUAGCCGGCCUGAGAGGGUGACCGGCCACAUUGGGACUGAGGUACGGCCCGGACUCCUACGGGAGGCAGCAGUGGGGAAUAUUGCACAAUGAGCGGAGGCCUGAUGCAGCAACGCCGCGUGCGGGAUGACGGCCUUCGGGUUGUAAACCGCUUUCGCCUGUGACGAAGCGUGAGUGACGGUAAUGGGUAAAGAAGCACCGGCUAACUACGUG
rnacentral:rRNA from 1 species